rnacentral:lncRNA from 1 species
CAUAAGAACUUUUUUUUUUUUUUUGUUUGUUUGCUCUUUUUGAUUUAAAUAAACUACUUUGUACUUGCACUUGUAAUUCUUAACUGCACAAAAGAGUGCACAUUUUCAGGCAAAGCUGAUCCUGGGUGGGCACAUGGUGGGGCAUGGAUGCGGGGUUGAGGGGAGUGCUGCCUGCAAGGAGCAGGCCAAUGACCUGUCACAGGGGGCCCAGAACGUGGCUAGCUGGUCAACUUAGGGCACCCCCAAAGUGAACACUUAUUCAGUAAGGCAGAGUAGGCACCUGCUUACUCCAGACGUCAGGUGCAUACUCUGCCGAAAUAUACCAGGGAGGAGGAGGCAGUGGUGAGGGAGAGCUUAUGUGUUUCCAGAUCCUCACUGCUCCCUCGUGCGCACUCUAUGGUGAUGCCUGGAGCCAGAAUAUGACAUCACUCAACAUCUCGAGGAAGAAGUAAGGAACUGUAGGGAAAAGAUCCCUAGUGGACCCCAGGGAGAAGAUCCCGACUGGAGCCAGGGAGAAAAUCUCCACUGGCUGUGGCUGAGAAUCAUCAGUUUCUUAAUGAGAGGCCUCUUAUUGCUCAUUUCCUGGUUCAAACUGAAAGUAUAUGCUGGGGGGAAAAAAGGGAGGAUUUGCAAAGGCUGCAGGGAGAAAAACUGAAGCUUUUUUAAGCUGCUUUAAGACAUACCCCCAAUGACAACGUGCAUACCUAAAUACAAGCAUGUUUUCAUUGGGGGUAUUACUAAAAAUAGUACUAAAUUGUGAUUUACUAAAAAAAAACAAAAAAAAAUCUGUUCCUUUAAUGGGAAUCUCAAAAUCCAUAAUGAAUUGUAACAAAUAAAACUAUAAAUUAAUGUAAGGUAUGUUCAAUAUAUGAUUUUAAUACAUAUGUGGAUACUUAGUUAUUAAUAAAGUCUUCACACACACAAUUGCUAAUGAUUACCAGCACUUUAUGUUUUUUACUCUUUAUUUAUCAUUCACUUGUUACUAUCAUGUUUAAUGUACACUGCUCAAAAAAAUAAAGGGAACACAAAAAUAACACAUCCUAGAUCUGAAUGAAUUAAAUUUUCUUAUGAAAUACUUUGUUCUUUACAUAGUUGCAGGGCCAGACUGGGAAGAAAAUUCGGCCUGCUCAUUUUUGAAUUACAGCGGUCCACUAAAAAGGGGGCAGGGCCAGAUAGGGUGUGUUUUGUCAUCACCAAUGACAAGCAUGCCCCAUCACAAAGUGAGCAUGUUGGUUCAAUGCUCUUCCAGGGUAGACCAUGCGCAGAGCUCUGCUGAAGAGCUUUGGCAUGAGAAAAAGACCCUGUAUUUGUUCUGCACAGCACAAGCAAAUUCAAUAACAUGCUUGCACUGUGUUUGCUUGAAAUUUGUCUCUGGUGUCUCCAUAGAUGGGAUACCAGGAGACAAAAAUGCUAGGAAAGCAUAUUGUGCAGUGUGUGUGAGGGUGCUCUGUGUGUGUGUGUGUGUAAGGGGUGUAGUGUGUGUGCAUGUGAGAGGGGUGCACUGUGUGUGUGUGAGGGGUAUUGUGGGUGUGUGAGUGAUGGGUGCUGUGUUUGUGUGAGGGUUUUAUGUGGGUAAGGGUGCUGUGGGUGAGUGGGUGCUGUGGGUGAGUGGGUGCUGUGUUUGCGUGAGGGUGCUAUGUGCGUGUGAGGAAGCUGUGUGUGUCAGGGGUGCAGUGUGUGUGAGGGUGCUGUGAGUGUCAGGGGUGCAGUGUGUGUGAGUGAGGGUGCUGUGAGUGUCAGGGGUGCAGUGUGUGUUUGUGUGUGUAUGUGUGUGCUAGUGAGGGUGCUGUGAGUGUCAGGGGUGUAGUGUGUGUGUGUGCUGUGCGUGUCAGGGGUGCAGUGUGUGUGUGUGUGUGUGAGGGUGCUGUAAGUGUUAGGGGUGCAGUGUGUUUGUGCUGUGAGUGUUAGGGGUGCAGUGUGUGUGUGUGUGCUGUGAGUGUCAGGAGUGCAGUGUGUGUGUGCUGUGAGUGUCAGGGGUGCAGUGUGUGUGAGUGUGGGUGCUGUGAGUGUCAGGUGUGCAGUGUGUGUGAGUGAGGGUUCUGUGUGUGUCAGGGGUGCAGUGUAUGUGAGUGAGGGUGCUGUGAGUGACAGGGGUGCAGUGUGUGUGAG